GGCUGAGUGGCAGAGUGGUCAUGCAGCGGUUUGCAAAACCGUGUACGUCGGUUCAAUUCCGGCCUCAGCCU
rnacentral:tRNA from 1 species